UCCCUCCUCUCACAGUUACAGGAUCUUCGGACUCCGCCGACACGUCGCACACGGAACUCUGCCUGGAAACACCGUAAAGUAACCGGCGGCCGACAGAGACGGAGCGGCCUCUCAGGACACGAGGGGUCGAUUAGGUGUGACUUGCUGUGUUGGUGACUGUGAUGAUGGGAGGAGAGCAGAGCCAUGAGACGAAGGCUGAGGAGAAAGAAAAAGAGGCGGAUAAACAUCAACAAUCUGCCCCUACUGACAGCUCAGGAUCUGCUGCUGCUGAAGACACCCCAGGAGAGCUGCCCCAGUGCAAGAUGGGAAACAAGAAGGUGGACAACAUGUGUUUCAUGAUCUCGUGCACUAACUGGUACUAAACUGAACCAGCAGGUUAAUGAAACAGAAGAUUGUUAACAUGAAUUCUGGGCCAGAUGCUGCCUUCAUGGAUUCACCGAAAAUCCAAAAUGAAGCCGUCACCGAAGUCCCACGUGCUCCCUGCAUCGUUCCACCAAUCAUAAAAAUGACAAAUUGCCAUUUUACAGCUUAAACAAAUGAGAUAUAACAUGAUCAUCAGUGAGCUUUAGAGGCGCUGUUAGGUAAAUAUUGUCACCGUAGGUCGGAGCCAGGCUAGCUGUUUCCCCUGCAGUCUUUAUGCUAAGCUAAGCUAACGGGUAGGAGCUUCAUUUUAACAUACAGAUGAGAGUGGUAUUGGCUUAUCUAACUCUUGGCAAGAAAGUGCAAAGGCUGUGUUUCCACUUUAUUUAUAAGGGAAGACACCUGUAGCAUAUCGCUAACUCUUAUGCUGGCACAGAUGAGAAAAAUAAUCUGAUAUCAGAUAUAUCAUGGGAAUAAGGUGAUUGUUGUGAGUGUCAGUCCUUUCCUUUCCGCUUCUUCAAUGUAUAAACUAACCAGGUAAACACAUUCAUUCAUUUUCCGUAACCACUUAUCCUGUUAGGGGUCACGCGAGUGCUGGAGCCUAUCCCAGCUGACACUGGGUGAGAGGUCACCAGACUAUCACA